AUUGAACGCUGGCGGCAGGCCUAACACAUGCAAGUCGAGCGAGCGGCGGACGGGUGAGUAAUGUAUGGGGACUGCCCGAUAGAGGGGGAUAACUACUGGAAACGGUAGCUAAUACCGCAUACCAUCGGAUAACCCAGAUGGGAUUAGCUAGUAGGUGAGGUAAUGGCUCACCUAGGCGACGAUCCCUAGCUGGUCUGAGAGGAUGAUCAGCCACACUGGUACUGAGACGCGGCCCAGACUCCUACGGAGGCAGCAGUGGGGAAUAUUGCCCAAUGGGCGCAAGCCUGAUGCAACCAUGCCGCUUGUAUGAGGACGGCCCUAGGGUUGUAAAGUACUUUCAGUCGGGAGGCGUUACCGACAGAAAAAGCACCGGCUAACUCCGUGCCAGCAGCCGCGGUAAUUC
rnacentral:rRNA from 1 species